rnacentral:ncRNA from 1 species
UUAAAAAUAGUGAUAAGGAAUAGUAUAUUUAAGUGAACUUUUUAGAGAGCUAGAGUUUGGUGGAAGUCUAGUAAGUAAGCUUUAUAGAAGCAGCCUUUGAAUUUCAUUACUAAAAAAUAAGGAUUAACAGUAAUUUUGCAUUUAUGUGUUCAAUUUUUAAUUAGGUAAUGACGUGUUCCUCACGUUAUAGAGGUGGAGUAUUAAUGUUUUAGAUACUCCAGCUGAGUGAACAAUAUUUAUAUUGUUUAUUAGGGUGGUACCGCGAAGUAGUUCCUUCGUCCCUUGU